rnacentral:rRNA from 1 species
CAGUAGCCACGGGAAUACGAAGGGGGCUAGCGUUGUUCGGAAUCACUGGGCGUAAAGGGUGCGUAGGCGGAUUCUUAAGUCAGGGGUGAAAUCCCGAGGCUCAACCUCGGAACUGCCUUUGAUACUGGGGAUCUUGAGUCCGGAAGAGGUGAGUGGAACUGCGAGUGUAGAGGUGAAAUUCGUAGAUAUUCGCAAGAACACCGGUGGCGAAGGCGGCUCACUGGUCCGGAACUGACGCUGAGGCACGACAGCGUGGGGAGCAAACAGGAUUAGAUACCCCAGUAGUCCCUGUCUCUUAUAC